AUAAGUGCCAUCUUUUCUUUCCAGGACCAAAGAAAAAGCAGCAGGAAAAAGGCGGCUAAAAAAAAAAAAAAAAAAUCAGAAACCAAAAACAGGUCUCGGGCUCGCCGGGCGCACCAGGCUGUUGGGCCCUCUUGGGGCCAGUGCUGGGUGCUUGAAGAGGGUGUGAGAAAGAAGUCCUCUCCUCUGCUUGGCUUGGGCAAGGCUCAAGAUGUAGAUGUGCUGCCCUGCGAAUCCCUUUGCCCACGGAACUGAUGUCGACGAGACCCGUUGAAAGGUCAGCAUUACUGUGUCCCUUGCCCAGCUUCCCAUGGUGUGCCACACUUCCUGCCCUACACAGGAUAAAGUAGAAUAAAGUCUGUUAUUCAGAAGCUUCA
rnacentral:lncRNA from 1 species